rnacentral:rRNA from 1 species
AUUGAACGCUGGCGGCAUGCCUUACACAUGCAAGUCGAACGGUAACAGGUCUUCGGAUGCUGACGAGUGGCGAACGGGUGAGUAAUGCGUCGGAACGUGCCGAGUAGUGGGGGAUAACGCAGCGAAAGUUGUGCUAAUACCGCAUACGUACUGAGGUAGAAAGUGGGGGACCUUCGGGCCUCACGCUAUUCGAGCGGCCGACGUCUGAUUAGCUAGUAGGUGAGGUAAAGGCUCACCUAGGCGACGAUCAGUAGCGGGUCUGAGAGGAUGAUCCGCCACACUGGGACUGAGACACGGCCCAGACUCCUACGGGAGGCAGCAGUGGGGAAUUUUGGACAAUGGGCGAAAGCCUGAUCCAGCCAUGCCGCGUGUCUGAAGAAGGCCUUCGGGUUGUAAAGGACUUUUGUCGGGGAGGAAAUCCCCAGCGCUAAUACCGCUGGGGGAUGACAGUACCUGAAGAAUAAGCACCGGCUAACUACGUGCCAGCAGCCGCGGUAAAAC